CGAUGAUCAGUAGCCGGUCUGAGAGGAUGAACGGCCACAUUGGGACUGAGACACGGCCCAGACGUCCUACGGGAGGCAGCAGUGGGGAAUCUUCCGCAAUGGACGAAAGGUCUGACGGAGCAACGCCGCGUGAGUGAAGAAGGUUCUUCGGAUUGUAAAGCUCUGUUAUACGGGACGAAAAAGACGGAUGCCAACAGUAUCCGUCCGUGACGGUACCGUAAGAGAAAGCCACGGGCUAACUACGUGCCAGCAGCCGCGGUAAAU
rnacentral:rRNA from 1 species